rnacentral:rRNA from 1 species
UACAGAGGUCUCAAGCGUUGUUCGGAAUCAUUGGGCGUAAAGAGCGUGUAGGCGGCUCGAUAAGUCCGUUCUGAAAGUCCAGGGCUCAACCCUGGGAUGCGGAUGGAUACUGUCGGGCUCGAGUCCGGAAGAGGCGAGUGGAAUUCCCGGUGUAGCGGUGAAAUGCGCAGAUAUCGGGAGGAACACCAAUGGCGAAGGCAGCUCGCUGGGACGUGACUGACGCUGAGACGCGAAAGCGUGGGGAGCAAACAGG